AUGUAUGGUGUCCACAUUGUCAAUGUAGAGUUGUUCGCCCAAGACGCGCUCCACCACGGUUUCGGCGCGCUUGCCCUUUUCGUACUUAAUACAAACUGAACAGUGAGGAAAUACAUCUGACUGGCAACAGUUUAAGUGCGCCCAGCUUAAAUCUCAUCAUCAUCGAGACCCGCAUCUUCUGGGGGGAAAUCGCCCACCUCUACAGCAUUUGGCAGCACAAAACCACCAUAGUUUGGUGCGCAACUAAAGUAACUCCUACCCUCGAUACUGCAAAUAAGUACAAGUUAUAUAAAAAAUAAAAUUUCGAACUGUCAAGUACAUGAACA